rnacentral:rRNA from 1 species
UUGACCUCGGAUCAGGUAGGGUUACCCGCUGAACUUAAGCAUAUCAAUAAGCGGAGGAAAAGAAACCAACAGGGAUUGCCUCAGUAACGGCGAGUGAAGCGGCAACAGCUCAAAUUUGAAAUCUGGUCACCUCACGGAGGCCCGAGUUGUAAUUUGAAGAGGAUGCUUUUGGCGAGGUGCCUUCCGAGUGCCCUGGAACGGGACGCCACAGAGGGUGAGAGCCCCGUAUGGUUGGACGCCGAGCCUAUGUAAAGCUCCUUCGACGAGUCGAGUAGUUUGGGAAUGCUGCUCAAAAUGGGAGGUAAACCCCUUCUAAAGCUAAAUAUUGGCCAGAGACCGAUAGCGCACAAGUAGAGUGAUCGAAAGAUGAAAAGCACUUUGAAAAGAGAGUUAAAAAGCACGUGAAAUUGUUGAAAGGGAAGCGCUUGCGACCAGACUUGCGCCCGUCGGAUCAACCGUCGCUUGUCGGCGGCUCACUCCGGCGGGCUCAGGCCAGCAUCAGUUUCCCCGGGGGGAGAAAGGCGGUGGGAAUGUAGCUCCUAGGAGUGUUAUAGCCCGCCGCGUAAUACCUUCGGGGGGACUGAGGACCGCGCAUCUGCAAGGAUGCUGGC